rnacentral:lncRNA from 1 species
AUGACCCGGCGUUUCCCCAUAACCCUGUCUGUCCUUAUAAACGCGUCUGUCCAAAUAGGCCUGUGUGUCACCUUUAACUCGUCCGUCCUCAUAAGCCUGUGUGUCCCCAUUAACCCGUCUGUCCACAUAAGUCUGUGUGCCCCCAUUAACCAGUCUGUCCCCAUUAACCCGUCUGUCCAAAUAGGCCUGUGUGUCCCCCUUAACCCGUCCGUCCUCAUAAGCUUGUGUGUCCCCAUUAACCCGUCUGUCCUUAUAAACCUGUGUGUCUUCAUAACUCUUUGUGUUCCCAUGACCCUGCGUUUCCCCAUUACCCUGUCUGUCCUUAUAAACCUGUGUGUCCCCAAUAACCCGCCUGUCCCCAUUAACCUGUGUGUCCCCAUUAACCCGUCUGUCCAAAUAGGCCUGUGUGUCUCCUUUAACCCGUCUGUCCACAUAGGCCUCUGUGUUCUCAUAAGCCCGAGUGUCCCCAUUUACCCGUCUGUCCUCAUAACCCUGUCUGUCCUCAUAAACCCGUCUGUCCCCAUAACCCUGUGUGUCCCCAUGAACCCGCACGUCCUCGCAUCUGCCGGUGUUUUGGUUGCCGUGACAACGUGCAGGCACGUGGCGUGGGGGGUCCCCGUACAUCUGGUCCGCCAUGGCCCGGAUGUUGUCGGCGUAACUCUGAUCGGGCGCGACCGGGUCCCGCCCACGAUCGCCACUACGGGCGCGCCCGUCGCCGGGGGCUUGCCCGGCACGCAGGGCCGAACGCCGGCCCCCAUUAUCCGGGGUGCGCGACCGCGCGUGGGGGCGUGUCGCGUCCCGGUUCAGGUUCCCGGUGGCGGCGGCGGCGGCGGCGGGCCGGUGCAGGCUGCCCCACGUAUGGCUGUGCGCCAGGGGGCCGACGUCGUCAUGACGACGCGGCUGUGCCGUACCAGAGGCGGUUUGGCCCUGGCCGAGGCCGUAGGUGUACCUGGUGUGCGUUUCCCCGGCAACCCCCCCCCGCCGCCGGUUACCGUGGGGAACGGGGUCGGAGGCCCGCCUCCUCAGCAGAGGGAGGAGGGGGGAAGGGCGGAGGGGGGGGGGCUGCUCGGUUUGCUGUUGUUGUUGUUGCCGUACGCUGCGGAGGAGGUCACCUGA